rnacentral:rRNA from 1 species
CCUACGGGAGGCAGCAGUGGGGAAUAUUGCACAAUGGGGGAAACCCUGAUGCAGCAACGCCGCGUGAGUGAAGAAGUAUUUCGGUAUGUAAAGCUCUAUCAGCAGGGAAGAAAAUGACAGUACCUGACUAAGAAGCCCCGGCUAACUACGUGCCAGCAGCCGCGGUAAUACGUAGGGGGCAAGCGUUAUCCGGAUUUACUGGGUGUAAAGGGAGCGUAGACGGCUGCGCAAGUCAGAAGUGAAAGCCCGGGGCUCAACCGCGGGACUGCUUUUGAUACUGUGUAGCUGGAGUGCAGGAGAGGUAAGUGGAAUUCCUAGUGUAGCGGUGAAAUGCGUAGAUAUUAGGAGGAACACCGGUGGCGAAGGCGGCUUACUGGACUGUAACUGACGUUGAGGCUCGAAAGCGUGGGGAGCAAACAGGAUUAGAUACCCCAGUAGUC